GAGUGAGCCGUGGGGAGCAUGGCGGUAACCAGCCUUUUCCCACAGUCCCUACUUCAGUUCCUGCCUCUGAGUUCCUGCUCUGCUUGUGAGCCUGCCUUGGUUGUCUUCAGCGAUGGACCAUUAUCAGGAAUAUAUAGGGUGUCUCUAUGCUCUCACAAGAGGAGAACCUGUGAAACAGGGCAGAACUGACUAUCUCAGACUUGACCUGAAAGAUCCAUGUGAGUCAGACAGCGAGAGCCUGGUCCUAACUCCUCCGUGCAGAAGCAGUUGUGAAACUUCUGGAAACCACAGUUCCUGUGUCCCCAUCAACGGUAGCACACACCCAGCAAGCAGGUCGGCCACUGAUGGUUCGUCUGCCCUGCAAUCAGUCUGAGAGUUAAGAAAGGGCUCUGCCUCAUCCAUCAAUCCUUACCCUGUGCCCAGAUCUGGCCUGCACACAGGAGUGCGCUAUACAUCUCUGUGGUGAGGAACUCAGCCUGUCAAUCCCCACCUUCAUCAGAGUAAGGAAGCUGCAAAUAAACUCUCUGCUAGGAGAGAGCUCAGCAACUCCACCUUGAUGUCAAGCUAACAUGCAAAACUGGCCCCGGAUCUGAGAUAUAAGAAAGACUUGGGUUUCGAACUUCAAAGAACAGCCAGGACUCCGGUGAGCAGGAUCCAUGGUUUCUUUGAAAGUCGCUCUUAGGAACAAAUGAAGGAGAGAAGCUAAGCGGUGGCUGUCAAUCUGAGAAGUGCCAGGUUCCACCUGGGUACCUCACACACUGCAUCUCCAUGAGCUUUGAAGAAUGUGGGAAGCACCUGCCUUAUGGAGAUUGGAAGAGCAAAGGCUGACAGGUCUCCAGUGGUCCCAGGAUACAGGUCAGCUGUCCAGAAGUGUGCCCAACAUGUUAAAUGCUGGUUUCAUGGGCUCUCUGCCACUCUCAUCUCAGAGAUCUUGGGGCCUGAGUGUGAGAGACAAGUAACAGAAAAAUGAACGGAGAAGGACAAAUACAGUGGAUGCACUAUUUAUUUCCUGGGACCUUGCUUCUGUUGUACCUUGUUAAUCCUACGCUGUGGGUUGAAUUGAUGCUUUACAAGCUCACAAUAUACAGUUUUAUGAGUCC
rnacentral:lncRNA from 1 species